UUUAAAUCGAUGACAGGAGCUAGUAGUAAGGGAAGCUUGAUCAAGAGAGUCGGUGGCUGGUGCGAACCGAUACAAGGCCUUUAUGAAUCCAUCCUCGAGUGAAGUACUGAAUGAAGUAAGUAUUUUCGGUGAUUCCGUUACCAUCUCUAAGAGGAAGGCAGUCAUCUGUCUUCAAUUAGGGUGGCAACGCGGAAACCUCCGUCCCUUUU
rnacentral:ncRNA from 2 species